rnacentral:rRNA from 1 species
GUCCUAUCAGCUUGUUGGCGGGGUAACGGCCCACCAAGGCUAUGACGGGUAGGGGGUGUGAGAGCACGACCCCCAACGAGGAGACUGAGACACGGCUCCUACACCUACGGGUGGCAGCAGUCAAGAACAUUCGACAAUGGGCGAAAGCCUGAUCGAGCGACGCCGCGUGCAGGAAGAAGUCCUUCGGGAUGUAAACUGCUUUUGCGUAGGAAAAAUUUUGAUUGUACUACAAGAAUAAGGGGUUGCUAACCUCGUGCCAGCAGCAGCGGUAAUACGAGGACCCCGAGCGUUAUCCGGAAUUACUGGGCAUAAAGAGCGAGUAGCCGGUUUUGUUAGUCUGAUGUUAAAUUCCGAGGCUUAACUUCGGAGCCGCAUCGGAAACGGCAAGAGUCCAGCUCAAAGUUAUUUUCUAAGACGAAAUUGAAAUAUUUGAGACGAAAUAAAGAAAAAAUUUUAAGGCAUAGCCUUGGGCGCUAUACUGAAAAAUUUUUCCAAAGUUGCAAUCCAAAUAUUUUAAUUGCAGUCAGAAAGAUAAUUUCGAGUUGGACUCCUUGAACUAGAGCAGGUAAGAGGUAAGCGGAACGUGCGGUGUAGGGGUGAAAUCCAUUGAUAUCGCACGGAACACCAAAAGCGAAGGCAGCUUACUGGUGCUUUGCUGACGGUCAAUCGCGAAAGCGUGGGCAUAAAAAAGGAUUAGAUACCCUUGUAUUCCACGCCCUAAACUAUGCUGACUAGCUAUUGGGAGCAUCGACCCUUCCAGUGGCGUAGCUAAUGCGUUAAGUCAGCCGCCUGGGAAGUACGAGCGCAAGCUUAAAACUUAAAGAAAUAGGCGGGAAUUCGCACAAGCGGUGGAUCAUGUGGUUUAAUUCGACACUGAGCGAAGAACCUCACCAAGGCUUGAAAUCCUAGUGUAAGCUCCGGGAAACCGGGGCCCCCGCAAGGCUCUAGGACAGGUGCUGCACGGCUGAACUAUCGGCCGGUAGGGGAGCAAUUCCCUACAAAAAUAACCAGCUCAUAACGGUGGAGUCCGAAAUAUAUUAAUGUUAAAAUUAAUAUAUGGAUAAUACCGUGGGAAGCCCGAAUACAAGUUUUUGUAACUUUCCGAAAUCAACUCAAGAUUAUUAUAUUCUUGGCCUUUGGUGCGCUGAUGGCUACCACUGGACAAGCAGUAUAGGAUUGAGCAAUAUUGAUUUAAUUUUAAUUAAGAAAUUUAGAAAUUUUCUUUCAGGAUUAUUUCCU